AGGUUCUCACCUGCUCCCUGGCAGCAAUGAAGAAAAAGCAGCCCUACUAUUACCCUACCCCCGGCACUCCCCCUUCCCCUGCCCUUCCCCUUGCCUCCUCCCCCCUCCCUGCUGCCCUCCAGCCCUGCCUCCUGCAGGCCCCCACUCUGAGCCCUUGGCCCGGCCCUCCUCCUGCUGGCCCACCUUGCCUGGCCAAGCUCCUGCCUCUCACCAGCUGGCCCCCUCCUCACCUGGACGCCCACAAGGCCCACUGUCCCCACAUGCUCCCUGGAGUCCCCUGCUGCCCCUGCUGCCCCUGCCCUGCCAGCCCCCCUUCCCCACCCUACCUCCCCUUUUGCUGCCUGGCCUCCCUCUCUGCUCUUCAUUCUUCCUUUGCCCUGGACCCCCCUUCUGGCCCUUGUCUGGCCUCCAGCCACCUGGGCAGACUGCUCAGCCGCCCCUACUCCCCUCCCACCCAGUCACCUCCUCCCACCAUCUCCCCACCCUCGGGCCACCCUGCAAACCGUCCCAGGGACCUGGCCCUCCUGCCAGCGGGCACCUGGACCUCUCGGGGCUCCGUGAGUGGGGCACCGGCUGGGCGCAGGGAGCAGCACAGGCCUGGCAGGUGUGGGGCAGCCUCGAGGGCCCUCUGGCGCUCCAGGAAGCCCCCAUCUCCAGAGUGAGCUCUCAGCCACGUGGGGGUCUGGCCUGGGUCACCGGAUGACAGAACUUGGUGGCUUCUACCCCAGCCCUGGCUCUAGAAUCACAAAACCUCAGUCUGCAAAAGGGGCAGGACCUCUCACACUUCUCUCACCAAAAGACGUGCAACAAUG